CUGCUUGUUAUGGUGACCAAGUCAAGGGCUGCUAACUAUUAUAAAAACUCCAGCGUCUCUCCACUCCGACUUCCAGUGUUCCACCUAAGUAGCUCUCUGCCUGCCUGCCUGCCUGCUGACCAGCCAGGUCCUCCCUACCCCCCAGCCCCCCCAACAACCCCUCUGGGUUCUAAAUGAAUUCUGUUACAUCUCGACCACUGCCUCCGCUCUCCCUGCAUUUGGGUCAAGACAAAAAGACUCGACAUAACACAAAUGUAUUGAUCACUUUAAUAUAUUUUUUCACUUUUAAAGAUUCUUAAAAUACGAGGAUGAUACAGUCACAUCAGUGAGCACACAAUAUCUACAGCGUGACCACAUCCAGAAACAUCCUCAGAUAUUUACAACCACAAAGAAGAACAAAAAUAACAAAAAUUGCUUCAAGAGUCAAAAUCCUAUCAAAUAAAUAUUCAGUGGUUG